UGGGGAAUUUUGGACAAUGGGCGCAAGCCUGAUCCAGCCAUGCCGCGUGCGGGAAGAAGGCCUUCGGGCUGUAAACCGCUUUUGUCAGGGAAGAAAUCUUCUGAGUUAAUACCUCGGGAGGAUGACGGUACCUGAAGAAUAAGCACCGGCUAACUACGUGCCAGCAGCCGCGGUAAUACGUAGGGUGCAAGCGUUAAUCGGAAUUACUGGGCGUAAAGCGUGCGCAGGCGGUUUUGUAAGACAGAGGUGAAAUCCCCGGGCUCAACCUGGGAACUGCCUUUGUGACUGCAAGGCUUGAGUGCGGCAGAGGGGGAUGGAAUUCCGCGUGUAGCAGUGAAAUGCGUAGAUAUGCGGAGGAACACCGAUGGCGAAGGCAAUCCCCUGGGCCUGCACUGACGCUCAUGCACGAAAGCGUGGGGAGCAAACAGGAUUAGAUAGCCCUGGUAGUCCACGCCCUAAAACGAUGUCAACUGGUUGUUGGGAAGGUUCCUUCUCAGUAACGUAGCUAACGCGUGAAAGUUGACCGCCUGGGGAGUACGGCCGCAAGGUUG
rnacentral:rRNA from 1 species